rnacentral:rRNA from 1 species
UACGUAGGGUGCAAGCGUUGUCCGGAAUUAUUGGGCGUAAAGAGCUCGUAGGCGGUUUGUCGCGUCUGCUGUGAAAACUCGGGGCUUAACCCCGGGCCUGCAGUGGGGUACGGGCAGACUAGAGUGCGGUAGGGGAGACUGGAAUUCCUGGUGUAGCGGUGAAAUGCGCAGAUAUCAGGAGGAACACCGGUGGCGAAAGCGGCUCACUGGAUCUCUUCUGACGCUGAGGCACGAAAGCUAGGGUAGCGAACGGG